GUGGCGGAAUCGGCAGACGCGCUAGAUUCAGGUUCUAGUGGUAGCAAUACCGUGGGGGUUCAAGUCC
rnacentral:tRNA from 1 species